rnacentral:rRNA from 1 species
GACGAACGCUGGCGGCGUGCCUAAUACAUGCAAGUCGAACGAAGCUGUUUUAACUGGUGCUUGCACCGACUUAAACAACUGAGUGGCGAACGGGUGAGUAACACGUGGGUAACCUGCCCCAAAGCGGGGGAUAACAUUUGGAAACAGAUGCUAAUACCGCAUAAUCACAGAAACCACAUGGUUUCUGUGUCAAAGAUGGUUUCGGCUAUCACUUUGGGAUGGACCCGCGGCGUAUUAGCUAGUUGGUAAGGUAAUGGCUUACCAAGGCAAUGAUACAUAGCCGAACGGAGAGUUUGAUCGGCCACAUUGGGACUGAGACACGGCCCAAACUCCUACGGGAGGCAGCAGUAGGGAAUCUUCCACAAUGGACGAAAGUCUGAUGGAGCAACGCCGCGUGAGUGAAGAAGGUUUUCGGAUCGUAAAACUCUGUUGUCAGAGAAGAACGUGUGCGAGAGUAACUGUUCGUGCAGUGACGGUAUCUGGCCAGAAAGCCACGGCUAACUACGUGCCAGCAGCCGCCGUAA